UAUAUGAGACAAUAUCUGAAAAAGUCUAAUUUCCAUGUCCCGCACUUCACCAGCAAUUAUUUUUUUAUUCAACCAUCUUUUUUAAAAAUUUUAAGUUUUAGUAUAAACUAAAUUAUAUAAUGCACCAUGGCCUGCCAAUUAAACACUCAUUCUUAUAUUUCUUCCAAUAAAAUAUUGUAAUUUAAAUGUUCAACCCCCCCCUAAAAUCAUGUUGUCCC
rnacentral:lncRNA from 1 species